rnacentral:rRNA from 1 species
AACGAACGCUGGCGGCAGGCCUAACACAUGCAAGUCGAGCGCCCCGCAAGGGGAGCGGCGGACGGGUGAGUAACGCGUGGGAAUAUGCCCUUUGCUACGGAAUAGUCUCGGGAAACUGGGGGUAAUACCGUAUACGCCCUUUGGGGGAAAGAUUUAUCGGCGAAGGAUUAGCCCGCGUUGGAUUAGGUAGUUGGUGGGGUAAUGGCCUACCAAGCCGACGAUCCAUAGCUGGUUUGAGAGGAUGAUCAGCCACACUGGGACUGAGACACGACCCAGACUCCUACGGGAGGCAGCAGUGGGGAAUCUUAGACAAUGGGGGCAACCCUGAUCUAGCCAUGCCGCGUGAGUGAUGAAGGCCUUAGGGUUGUAAAGCUCUUUCAGCUGGGAAGAUAAUGACGGUACCAGCAGAAGAAGCCCCGGCUAACUCCGUG